GAUGAACGCUGGCGGCGUGCCUAAUACAUGCAAGUCGAGCGAACAGACGAGGAGCUUGCUCCUCUGACGUUAGCGGCGGACGGGUGAGUAACACGUGGAUAACCUACCUAUAAGACUGGGAUAACUUCGGGAAACCGGAGCUAAUACCGGAUAAUAUAUUGAACCGCAUGGUUCAAUAGUGAAAGACGGUUUUGCUGUCACUUAUAGAUGGAUCCGCGCCGCAUUAGCUAGUUGGGAAGGUAACGGCUUACCAAGGCAACGAUGCGUAGCCGACCUGAGAGGGUGAGCGGCCACACUGGAACUGAGACACGGUCCAGACUCCUACGGGAGGCAGCAGUAGGGAAUCUUCCGCAAUGGGCGAAAGCCUGACGGAGCAACGCCGCGUGAGUGAUGAAGGUCUUCGGAUCGUAAAACUCUGUUAUUAGGGAAGAACAAAUGUGUAAGUAACUGUGCACGUCUUGACGGUACCUAAUCAGAAAGCCACGGCUAACUACGUG
rnacentral:rRNA from 1 species